AUUGAACGCUGGCGGCAUGCCUUACACAUGCAAGUCGAACGGCAGCACGGGAGCAAUCCUGGUGGCGAGUGGCGAACGGGUGAGUAAUAUAUCGGAACGUGCCCAGUCGUGGGGAUAACGUAGCGAAAGCUACGCUAAUACCGCAUACUAUCUAUGGAUGAAAGCGGGGGAUCGCAAGACCUCGCGCGAUUGGAGCGGCCGAUAUCAGAUUAGGUAGUUGGUGAGGUAAAGGCUCACCAAGCCGACGAUCUGUAGCUGGUCUGAGAGGACGACCAGCCACACUGGGACUGAGACACGGCCCAGACUCCUACGGGAGGCAGCAGUGGGGAAUUUUGGACAAUGGGCGCAAGCCUGAUCCAGCAAUGCCGCGUGCAGGAUGAAGG
rnacentral:rRNA from 1 species